rnacentral:rRNA from 1 species
UAGCGGCGAUGGGUGAGUAACACGUACUUAACAUGCCCUCUAGAUUGGAAUAACGAUUAGAAAUGAUCGCUAAUGCCGGAUACUUAUAUCUUUCGCAUGAASGAUAUAUAAAAGGAGCGUUUGCUUCGCUAGAGGAUUGGGGUGCGUAACAUUAGCUAGUUGGUAGGGUAAUGGCCUACCAAGGCUAUGAUGUUUAGCGGGGUUGAGAGACUGAUCCGCCACACUGGGACUGAGAUACGGCCCAGACUCCUACGGGAGGCAGCAGUAGGGAAUUUUCCACAAUGGACGAAAGUCUGAUGGAGCGACACAGCGUGCAGGAUGACGGCCUUCGGGUUGUAAACUGCUGUUAUAAGGGAAGAAAAAAUAAAGUAGGAAAUGACUUUAUCUUGACGGUACCUUGUCAGAAAGCAACGGCUAACUAUGUGCCAGCAGCCGCGGUAAUACAUAGGUUGCAAGCGUUAUCCGGAAUUAUUGGGCGUAAAGCGUCUGUAGGUUGUUUGUUAAGUCUGACGUGAAAACUUGGGGCUCAACCCCAAAUUGCGUUGGAUACUGGCAAACUAGAGUUAUGAAGAGGUUAGCGGAAUUCCUUGUGAAGCGGUGAAAUGCGUAGAUAUAAGGAAGAACACCAACUUGGCGAAGGCAGCUAACUGGGCAUACACUGACACUGAGAGACGAAAGCGUGGGGAGCAAACAGGAUUAGAUACCCUGGUAGUCCACGCUGUAAACGAUGAUGAUUAGCUGAUGUGGAACUCAUCGGCACAGCUAACGCAUUAAAUCAUCCGCCUGAGUAGUAUGCUCGCAAGAGUGAAACUUAAAGGAAUUGACGGGGAUCCGCACAAGCGGUGGAGCAUGUGGUUUAAUUUGAAGAUACGCGUAGAACCUUACCCACUCUGACAUCUCCGCAAAGCUA